UUAAUUUCCCAAGCUUCUAAACGCAGUCCCCACCCCCUUUCUUCCUAAACCUAAUGCUGAAACAGAAUCAGACAGGGAGAGAGAGAGGAAAUCAGAGUGUGAUACAAGCAGCCACCAUUCAGUCGCCAGAGCCGCCACUGGGGGGUCUUCGCCGUCCCUGUCGUCCUCAUCCACGCAAGGUGCAGCGCUGCGCGGUCCAGCCAUCGUGACCUCCGUGGAGCCCGCGUCGCUGUCGCCUCGGCUGUUCCCACCGCCGCUAGAUCCGUUGCGCGCGUUGUCGUAUGAGGAGCCACCGCCAUCCUUGCUUGUCGUCUCCCUUAGAGCCGUCGCCAUCGAGGGCCAGCAGAGAGAAACGCGAGAGUCAGAGUCGCCACUGAGAAGAGACGAAGCUGUGUUUCACGCCGCCGUCGCCACCGAUCCACAGCCACCACCGUGAGGGCUCUGCCACCGUGAAAGAAGUCUGCCGCUGUUACCUGAAUCUCUGCCGCCGUGGGUAUUGCCGUUGGAGUCGCUGGGAACCAAUGUCGGAGCUGCCCUUGAUGAUUCUGAUGCUGCUACGUAGGUUUGGAGCUGCUGUGUUGUUGCCGGAGGAAGGUAACUCAUAAAAAAAAUGUUAUUAAGGCUGUUGUUUGGUUUGAUUGCAUUGUUAACGCGACACUGAGUGACACAGGUUCGAAGACACAGUUUGAAGCUGCGGGCGAUUAUAGAACUUAUUUAUGUUAAGUUUAUAACUUGAGUUUCUUUCAUAGAAUUCCCUCGCCUUUGUAGCUUUAGUUUUUAUUUUAUGCAGAGGGAUAGAAGUUGUAUCUGAGUUUUACUUAAAUUCUUUUGUAUAAUAUUUAUUAUUAUUAAUAACUAUGUGAUUAUUAUUGCUUGUUGAUUC